GAUGAACGCUGGCGGCGUGCCUAACACAUGCAAGUCGAACGAAAGGACGAGGAGCUUGCUUCUUUGACGUUAGAGGCGGGGGGGGGAGUAACAUGUGUAUAACACACCUAUAUGAAUGGGAUAACUUAGGGAAAACGGAGCUUAUAACGGAUAAUAUUCUGAAGAGCAUGGUGGAAAAGUGAAAGACGGCCUUGCUGUCACUUAUAGCUGGUUCCGCGCUGCAUUAGCUAGUGGGUAAGGUAACGGCUUACCAAGGCAACGAUGCAUAGCUGACCUGAGAGGGUGAUCGGCCACACUGGAACUGAGACACGGUCCAGACUCCUACGGGAGGCAGCAGUAGGGAAUCUUGCGCAAUGGGCGCAAGCCUGACGCAGCAACGCCGCGUGUGUGAUGAAGGUCUUCGGAUCGUAAAGCUCUGUUAUUGGGGAAGAACAGAUUUGUAAUUAACUGUGCACAUCUUGACGGUACCUGAUCAAGAAGCCCCGGCUAACUACGUG
rnacentral:rRNA from 1 species